UCCUACGGGGCGCAGCAGUAGGGAAUCUUCCACAAUGGGCGAAAGCCUGAUGGAGCAACGCCGCGUGGGCGAAGAAGGUCUUCGGAUCGUAAAACCCUGUUGUUAGAGAAGAAAGUGCGUGAGAGUAACUGUUCACGUUUCGACGGUAUCUAACCAGAAAGCCACGGCUAACUACGUGCCAGCAGCCGCGGUAAUACGUAGGUGGCAAGCGUUGUCCGGAUUUAUUGGGCGGAAAGCGAGGGCAGGCGGUGCAAUAA
rnacentral:rRNA from 1 species